rnacentral:rRNA from 1 species
AACGAACGCUGGCGGCAGGCUUAACACAUGCAAGUCGAACGGGUGCAGCAAUGCAUCAGUGGCAGACGGGUGAGUAACACGUGGGAACCUUCCUAGGGGUCCGGAACAACCCAGGGAAACUUGAGCUAAUACCGUAUACGUCCGUGAGGAGAAAGAUUUAUCGCCCUUAGACGGGCCCGCGUCGGAUUAGCUAGUUGGUGGGGUAACGGCCUACCAAGGCGCCGAUCCGUAGCUGAUCUUAGAGGAUGAUCAGCCACACUGGGACUGAGACACGGCCCAGACUCCUACGGGAGGCAGCAGUGGGGAAUCUUGGACAAUGGGCGCAAGCUUGAUCCAGCCAUGCCGCGUGAGUGAAGAAGGUCUUCGGAUUGUAAAGCUCUUUUGCCAGGGACGAUAAUGACGGUACCUGGAGAAUAAGCCCCGGCAAACUUCGUGCCAGCAGCCGCGGUAACAC